CCUAGCUGUAGGCAACUGCCUAGGGUGCCUUGUGCCUAGGCCAAGUGUUACACUGCUGGAAGAAAAGCAGCCAGUAACUGAUGAGCAUU
ensembl:snoRNA SNORA74 Small nucleolar RNA SNORA74